rnacentral:rRNA from 1 species
CCUACGGGUGGCAGCAGUGGGGAAUAUUGGACAAUGGGGGGAACCCUGAUGCAGCGACGCCGCGUGCGUGAAGAAGUAUUUCGGUAUGUAAAGCUCUAUCAGCAGGGAAGAAAGCAAUGACGGUACCUGACUAAGAAGCCCCGGCUAACUACGUACCAGCAGCCGCGGUACUACGUAGGGGGCAAGCGUUAACCGGAUUGACUGGGUGUAAAGGGAGCGUAGACGGCGAUGCAAGUCUGAAGUGAAAGGCGGGGGCCCAACACCUGGACUGCUUUGGAAACUGGAGGGCUGGAGUGCAGGAGAGGUAAGUGGAAUUCCUAGUGUAGCGGUGAAAUGCGUAGAUAUUAGGAGGAACACCAGUGGCGAAGGCGGCUUACUGGACUGUAACUGACGUUGAGGCGCGAAAGCGUGGGGAGCAAACAGGAUUAGAUACCCGAGUAGUC